UUCACACAAGCACUGUCUUCUACCAUUCACACUGCGAUGGGUGCAUUGCAGAGCAACUUGGGGUUAAGGAUAUUUGGCAUGCAGACUAGGGGAUCCAGGGAUUGAACCACCAACCUUCCAAUCAGCAGCUGACUCUAUCACUAACUCUACCUCCUGAGCUACAGCCACCCUACUUGAAGCUGGCUCCAUUUUUCCCAACAUGUUUACAGCCCGAUACAGUAAAAAAAAAAAAAACACCCUAUCUCGACCUCUUUGGAUAGUUUCCCCUUUUAUAAUAACUGUGAUGAUGGUUAAUUAUUUAUAACUCAUCUGGACUCAACUGGAUACUGGACUUGGGGACAUGGCUGCUUUGACUGACAGCUGUCCAGAUGCGUGCAGCUGUACCCGCUCACUGUCUUGGCCUGGCUUCACCUUGGCUCAUUAAACUGGAUCUCACCGCUGUGUUUGUGCUGUUGGUGGUUUUUGGAGGAUUUUUCAUAAUUAAUGUUUGGGUUGUUUUUUGCUACAGACCAUCUGGCAGGUUUGUGCUUUCGUUUCAGUGACUGAAAUUCUAUUGUUUUAUUAGACUGUCACUUAUGUAUCACUAAUUUCCUAAUAAAUAAGUCUGUGUUUGUGUGAGUACCAAUUCAUGAUAAAAUGAACCGCUUUACAGCCUCUACAGCUAAUCUUCUCCUUUGUGAUAAUGCAGUGAUCUUUAACUCACCUGUUUGGAUUUUGUGGAAGUUUAAAGUAAGCAGCGUGGCCUCUUUGACAGGCAUGCAGACAGGAGCUGCUGCAGCUGCCUGAACAAUUAAAAGCACCAGAAGAACAGCGGCAGCGAUAAGGCAGCAAGACCGAGACUCGGCGAACGAACUGUAAUGAACACAGGGGACUCAUUUUUCAGCAGGUCUGUGGUGAAAAAAAUGAGGCGAAGCGUGCAGAGGAGGCGCUGCUUUAUAAAACCACUAAAUAUUGAGUCAGUGCAAUGUUCAGAUGUGACCUAUCGUUUGCUGACAGGUUACUGAAAACAUUAAUCUUUCGAGUUGUCAGUGGCCUAAAAAUCAACCUGUGUCUACUUCAUCAUUCCUGAAGGUAAUAACAGGCUGUGAUUCACAAAUGCUAGCUGAGAGAACUGAGAUCUGGAAAUGAUACUUUACUCUGAAUCAAGAUUUCGACUUUAUUUUGAAGAGAAGAAUAAAAGUUGACAACAAUACAAUGACUCUGCUGCAAGCAUCCAACCUACAAUCAGAUUCAGCCUUGACCCACUGCAUCCUAAUACCUGUAACUGUGCAGUUAUAUGAAGAAAUUAUAACUCAUUUUAAAUGAGACCACUUUUAGUUUGACCCCCCAAAUAUGUUGUUAAUAUAAUACUGAGAAAGAGGAAUAGGAAAAAAAAAAACAUAGUGUAUAUAAAAGACAGACGUAGUGUCUGAAACCUGCAUUCUUUCUCAUGACCAGUAUGACUGCUCUGACUGCAAAAACAAAGUGUCCAUCAAGAGCUUAGAUCUGUGACCAGAGUACCCACUUACAGGAAGCCACAGUCACACAGGCCUAGAGACUGGGCGCUGAUCCCUCUGGCGAUUUGUUGCUAGCAUAUUCCCAGACACCAACCAGCUAGCCAAUGAAAAUUUGAUUAUCGUUAUUUAGCAGUUGCUGAUAUCACAAAGGUUUUGGUUUACUGGAGGGUGGCUGACCCGUUAAUUGUACCUAAUCUUAAUGAACACCGCACAUUAUUCAUAUAUAUAUUUCUCCCAUACUGGCUUCUCUUCAUUGGCUACCUGUUAAAUCCAGCAUUGGGAUAAAAGUCCCUCUCAUCACAAGCAAAGUCUUGAAUAUCAGGCCCCAUCUUAUCUCAAUGACCUUAAUAGAUUUUAAACGAAGAUAUUCCAUUAGAGCACUUCGCUCUCACACUGCAGGCUUACUUGUUGUUUCUACAGUAUUUAAAAGCAGAAUGGGAGGCAGAGCCUUCAG